ensembl:lncRNA
AUGUUUUUACGCACCGCGUUUUUGCUCCCGACGCUUUUAUUUUUGACAACUUUGGAGUCAUCAGGAUGCUUUCAGACUGUGGUCCAGCCGAGCAAAGGCUCCACUGUGACGGUGUCCACCACGCUGCCUUUGGCUCAGUGUGCGGUGUGCACGGUCAGUGGGGACAACCUCACUUCCUGUCACUCCAUCCUGUCUCUGGUGCCUGAAGCGGAAGUUAAACUGCUCUUCAACUGCUCCCAGCCCCUGGAUCAGUCGUUCACAGUGACGGUUAAUCAUUCCAUCGAUUGCACUGACAAAUCGUGCCAGCCUCAGACAAUAGGAGUGCAGUCAUCCAUCCUGACAAAGUUCCCCAGAACCUUCAACUGGGAGGUGACAGCCCCUGGGGAGACCGUCGUGACCCUGGACAUCCUUGGAGAGGGGCUCAAGGAGACGUCACAGCCGUGCUCCGGUGGUCUGGAGUAUUCUGUGGCAGCAUCCAAAACCAACAACAAAGGCCUGACUCGGUACUGUAAAGCUGGGGACGUGACGCGACUGAACCUGCUGGAUCAAGCUCUUGUGUCUAUUCACGUAAAACCAGAGACCGUUGUGGAGUCUGUGCUGUUUCAGGCCUCCGCAGGACCCCUGGAGGCGCCCAAAAUGGACAUAACGGUUGGUCCAAGUUCAACAGUAGUCCUCAUGAAUAACCAGAAGUUAGGCAUUUGUAAAGUUUGCACUCAAGAAGGCCCCUUGCCUCAUUGCACCUCGCCAGGGCAAACGCUGACCAGCGGCAGACAGGUCACUGUGGAGUUCCUAUGCCUCAGACCGCAGGAUGUGAUCAGUGUAACCAUGAUGACAAAAAUGGAUUGCACACAGACUUCCUGCAAUCCUGCUGCUGCAGAGGUGGAUCCAAACUUCUUCAAGGACUUUAACAGAACCCUAACUUGGGAUGUCAGCGUCCCUGAGAGGACAGUUUUAAAUGUGAGCUUUCCUGUUGGUGGAGUUAAGGAGAUCAGUCAAGGAGAAACGUGCCGAGAUGGUUACCAGUACACAGUCAGUUUAACUAAGAGGGAUGGAGAUGUUCAAACUAGCAGCUACUGCAAAGGUGGGUCUGUGACCCAAUUGGAUUAUUUGGGAGCCACGACUCUGAUGGUUGUAGCCCCGGGGGGAGCAGAACUGGACGGAAACGUUUUCAGCGUUACUACAAGACCAAGAGGUAGUAGAAUAAUGCCGGUGCAGCUCGACCAGGACGUCGUCGUCACCAUUCAUAGAAACGCUGCAGAGCCGGAGUGCAGUGUGUGCGUGGGCAAGGCCCCCGAACAGACCUGUGACCCCCAGUACCAGAGGCUGACCUACAGCCCCGACAUGUCUGUGGAGUUUACAUGUCCCAACCCGCAGGAAAUCUUCAAAAUGGACAUAAACAGAGAAAUAGGUGAGGAUAUUUGACUGCUUUUUAUUUAAUUUCAAAAGGUUGGGGCUGCUCUGCUGGUUGCAAAAUAUCUUUUUUCAUUUUAGAUUUAAAUAGUAAAGAAAAACAAUGUUUUGAAUUGAUGAUAUUUUUAACUCAUGGAUGUUGAGAAAAGGCUACAGUGUUGUCCAUCAUACUUUAAAAACCGUAUCAGGAGACAAAUGAUUAAAGCUGAGAUCUGCGCUGUUUGGCCUGCAUGCGCUGCCCCUGCUGCCCACCCAUUACCCCCUUUUUGCCUUUAAUUCCAUAACAACCGUUUUAUAUUCUGGAUGCGUGGG